rnacentral:siRNA from 1 species
AAAUCUGCCAGAAAACUACCUGAA